UACAGAGGGUGCGAGCGUUGUUCGGAAUUACUGGGCGUAAAGCGUGUGUAGGCGGCUUUGCAAGUCGGAUGUGAAAGCCCCGGGCUCAACCCGGGAAGUGCACUCGAUACUGCGGAGCUUGAGUGUCGGAGAGGUUGGUGGAAUUCUCGGUGUAGAGGUGAAAUUCGUAGAUAUCGAGAGGAACACCGGUGGCGAAGGCGGCCAACUGGACGAACACUGACGCUGAGACACGAAAGCGUGGGGAGCAAACAGG
rnacentral:rRNA from 1 species